GACUUCAUGAAGUUUAAAGACAUUGUUUCCUCGACAUAGGGAAGAUUAGCAUGGCCCCUGUGCAAGGAUGACACGCAAAUCCAUGAAGCUUUCCAUAUUUAA